rnacentral:rRNA from 1 species
GACGGAGGAUGCAAGCGUUAUCCGGAAUGAUUGGGCGUAAAGCGUCCGCAGGUGGCAGUUCAAGUCUGCUGUCAAAGACCGGGGCUUAACUUCGGAAAGGCAGUGGAAACUGAAGAGGCUAGAGUGCGGUAGGGGUAGAGGGAAUUCCCAGUGUAGCGGUGAAAUGCGUAGAGAUUGGGAAGAACACCGGUGGCGAAAGCGCUCUACUGGGCCUGCACUGACACUGAGGGACGAAAGCUAGGGGAGCGAAAGGG